rnacentral:tRNA from 1 species
GCCGAGGUGGCGGAAUUGGCAGACGCGCUAGGUUCAGGUCCUAGUUCCCUUUAUUGGGAGUGGGGGUUCAAAUCCCCCCCUCGGCAUCA